CCUACGGGAGGCAGCAGUGGGGAAUAUUGCACAAUGGGGGAAACCCUGAUGCAGCGACGCCGCGUGAGUGAAGAAGUAAUUCGUUAUGUAAAGCUCUAUCAGCAGGGAAGAAAAUGACGGUACCUGAGUAAGAAGCCCCGGCUAACUACGUGCCAGCAGCCGCGGUAAUACGUAGGGGGCAAGCGUUAUCCGGAUUUACUGGGUGUAAAGGGAGCGUAGACGGCAGUGCAAGUCUGGAGUGAAAGGCGGGGGCUCAACCCCCGGACUGCUCUGGAAACUGUACGGCUGGAGUGCAGGAGAGGUAAGUGGAAUUCGUGGUGUAGCGGUGAAAUGCGUAGAUAUUAGGAGGAACACCGGUGGCGAAGGCAGCAUACGGGACUGUAACUGACGUUGAGGCUCGAAGGCGUGGGGAGCGAACAGGAUUAGAUACCCCAGUAGUC
rnacentral:rRNA from 1 species